rnacentral:rRNA from 1 species
AUUGAACGCUGGCGGCAGGCCUAACACAUGCAAGUCGAACGAGUGGCGGACGGGUGAGUAAUGUCUGGGAAACUGCCUGAUGGAGGGGGAUAACUACUGGAAACGGUAGCUAAUACCGCAUACCAUCAGAUGUGCCCAGAUGGGAUUAGCUAGUUGGUGGGGGAACGGCUCACCAAGGCGACGAUCCCUAGCUGGUCUGAGAGGAUGACCAGCCAAACUGGAACUGAGAAACGGUCCAGACGCCAACGGGAGGCAGCAGUGGGCAAUAUCGUACAAUGGGCACAAGCCGGAUGCAGCAAUGCCGCGUGUAUGAAGAAGGCCUUCGGGUUGUAAAGUACUUUCAGCGGGGAGGCGUUACCCGCAGAGGAAGCACCGGCUAACCCCGUGCCAGCAGCCGCGGUAAUAC